GUCUCGAUGGUGUAGUUGGUUAUCACGUGGGUCUCAUAUCUCGCAUAUGACUCGGAAGCGCAACUUCUGGGCGAUCCCAAGGCCGGGAGUUCGAACCUCCCUCGGGACA
rnacentral:tRNA from 4 species